rnacentral:misc_RNA from 1 species
UCCGGCUUAUCACCGGCAGUCCCACUAGAGUGCCCAACUUAAUGAUGGCAACUAAUGGCAGGGGUUGCGCUCGUUGCGGGACUUAACCCAACAUCUCACGACACGAGCUGACGACAACCAUGCACCACCUGUCACUCUGUCCCCCGAAGGGGAACGUCCUAUCUCUAGGAUUGUCAGAGGAUGUCAAGACCUGGUAAGGUUCUUCGCGUUGCUUCGAAUUAAGCAACAUGCUCCGCCGCUUGUGCGGGGCCCCGUCAAUUCCUUUGAGUUUUAGCCUUGCGGUCGUACUCCCCAGGCGGGGUGCUUAAUGCGUUAGCUUCGGCACGGACGGGGUCGAUGUCCGCCCACACCUAGCACCCAACGUUUACGGCUAGGACUAC